rnacentral:lncRNA from 1 species
GUUGCCCACAGCUUAGCCUCAAUGUAUCGCUAAGGUUAAAGUGCGCGUAUUUAUACUCUGAUCAAUUAGGUAUGCGGUUAUGAUGUGAAUAGAUACUGACUAUUUUGUGCUUAGUAGUUGCUCAAUUCUUUGGCAGUGGAAAAAUUGAAGCAUUUUUUCCAUUUAAGGUUGAAAUUUGAUCGGUUCCUUAUCUUCCAACUUGUGGAUUUAUUUAGAAGAUGGAAGAGGAAAACGAAACUAAAAGUAGAAAUGGUUUCUUGCUCCAUGUUUUCUCUUCAGACAAGACGCAAAAGUUCGACUAUUUAGAAUAAUGAAUUAUGUAUAUAGAAGAAUUUUCAUUUGAAAUUAGAAAAUUUGCAUAUAUCUUUGGAGGUUG